rnacentral:rRNA from 1 species
GACGCUGCGGCGUGCUAAUACAUGCAAGUCGUACGCUUCUUUUUCCACCGGAGCUUGCUCCACCGGAAAAAGAGGAGUGGCGAACGGGUGAGUAACACGUGGGUAACCUGCCCAUCAGAAGGGGAUAACACUUGGAAACAGGUGCUAAUACCGUAUAACAAUCGAAACCGCAUGGUUUUGAUUUGAAAGGCGCUUUCGGGUGUCGCUGAUGGAUGGACCCGCGGUGCAUUAGCUAGUUGGUGAGGUAACGGCUCACCAAGGCCACGAUGCAUAGCCGACCUGAGAGGGUGAUCGGCCACAUUGGGACUGAGACACGGCCCAAACUCCUACGGGAGGCAGCAGUAGGGAAUCUUCGGCAAUGGACGAAAGUCUGACCGAGCAACGCCGCGUGAGUGAAGAAGGUUUUCGGAUCGUAAAACUCUGUUGUUAGAGAAGAAUAAGGAUGAGAGUAACUGUUCAUCCCUUGACGGUAUCUAACCAGAAAGCCACGGCUAACUACGUGCCAGCAGCCGCGGUAAUACGUAGGUGGCAAGCGUUGUCCGGAUUUAUUGGGCGUAAAGCGAGCGCAGGCGGUUUCUUAAGUCUGAUGUGAAAGCCCCCGGCUCAACCGGGGAGGGUCAUUGGAAACUGGGAGACUUGAGUGCAGAAGAGGAGAGUGGAAUUCCAUGUGUAGCGGUGAAAUGCGUAGAUAUAUGGAGGAACACCAGUGGCGAAGGCGGCUCUCUGGUCUGUAACUGACGCUGAGGCUCGAAAGCGUGGGGAGCAAACAGGAUUAGAUACCCUGGUAGUCCACGCCGUAAACGAUGAGUGCUAAGUGUUGGAGGGUUUCCGCCCUUCAGUGCUGCAGCUAACGCAUUAAGCACUCCGCCUGGG